UUGGGCCGCAGAAGGUAGUGCUCAACUGCCGGUACAUGUUGCUUUUAUGUAGAAUCUUCUGGGGCGACGAGGAUAAAACUUGUUUUUGAGUGUUCCUUCUAGUGUUCGUCUAUCCUUAGCGUGUCUUUUGGGCCUAGUUGUUGCGUUCAUCAGGAUUCGGUGGAAUAGUGCAUCAUGAUGAUGACUGCAUGCGUUUGAAGGUAAAACUUGAGCUUUUAGGUUACAACAACUAUAGUCGAAGUUAGCUUUUGAAUUUCUGAUAACAUCAAUGAGAGCUUUUAAACUGUGGAAUACAACUGAUAGCAUCGAGGAGAACUUUUAAAUUGUGGAAUGAUAGCAUCGAGGAGAGCUUUUAAACUAUGGAAUACAGGUAGUUGGGCCCCCAGCUCUUCUCGCAUGAUGAUAGAGGUUAUUAUUGGUCUAGAUACCGUCAAACACGUGAAUAAGUCCUCCGUUGCUUCCGGUUUGGAUA
rnacentral:lncRNA from 1 species